UUAAAAUGAAAUGCAUAUGAGUUAUGUGAAAAAACGGGAAGUGAAAUACCAUGCAUAGAAUUGAUAUGAAAAGUAUAUAGAAAUGUGAGUUGAAAUGCCAUGCAUGAAUUGAUAUAUGAUGCAUAUGUAUGAAUUGGUGCGGUGGACGCACAGGUAAGAAUUGAUUUAUGAUGCAUAUAUAUGAAUUGGUGCGGUGGACGCACAGGUAAGAAUUGAUUUAUGAUGCAUAUGUAUGAAAUGGUGCGGUGAACGCACAGGUGAGUAUUUAUUUCUGUUAUGAUGAUGUUGAUGUAUAUUGAGCUCAAAUCCUGCACCAUAGUUUAGUGCUUAUAGUAUUCACCGCAUCGCACGCUCGCCUUGGAUCCAAGUAGAUGCUAGUCGUACAGUCCACGCGGAGUGGGUACGACAGGCAGUCGCGAGAGUGUUAGUGAGAUUCCGACUGGUGGGUGACCUUAGAUUAUGUGCACAGAUGAUUUAUGAGAAAGCACUAGAGCGUAACUUAUGUGCAGAAGGCCGUACAGGUCACGCGGAGUGACUCCGGCAGAGUGUGAGAGUUAUAGAUUUUUGAGCUCUAGGUUCAACCGGGCUAAUAGAGGGCCUCCGGUUGAUUACUUUAUUGCACCCUGAUAUGAUUUAUGUUGAUGCAUUCAUACCUUAUUACUGUUUGAGAUGAUGUGGCAUGACAUAAUUAAUAUGAGAAAUGUUGAGAUGAUGUGGCAUGGCAUAAUUAUGAUGAAAAUGUUGAGUUAAUGAAUUGAAGUAUUGAGAAUAUAUAUAUGUAUAUUUAUAUUUUAUAUUUCUGGGAAAGUAUACAGGUUUUACGGAGAGGGGUUACAACGUUUUGAGAAAUGUUUGGAUUUGGAAAAGAAUUGUUUUACUGACCCACUCAAUUUUGGUUUUGCGCCCCUCCAG
rnacentral:lncRNA from 1 species